rnacentral:tRNA from 2 species
GGAGGAGUACCCAAGUGGCUGUAAGGGAAACGCUUGGAAGGCGUUCGUAGCCGUAAGGCUACCGUGGGUUCGAAUCCCACCUCCUCCGCCA